rnacentral:tRNA from 1 species
UAAUAAGAUUUAUAUACAUAAAUUUAGUUUCGACCUAAAAUAAGGAAAUAAAAUUUUCCCUUAUUUU